UCCUCCAGAGGCGGCUCCUGGCUGCGUCUCUGAUCAAUGCUCUGCCUCCACACACACUCAGUUCAGAUGAAUGAUUGAUUAUUGAUAGGAUUGCAGUUUCACCAUCUUCUCUUCAUAUCACGAUGACGUUUGGAACAGAGCUCUCUGAGAUGUUCAAGGCUUAGGAAAUUAUUUCAUCAGAAACUCCAGUCACCUGGUUUCACCUCCUUUACCCUGAUCAUAUGUAGAGCUUCUUUGAAUUUCUCUUAAACACAAGAUGAAAACCAUCCAUUGGCAUCCUCAGUUUGAGUGGAGUCAUCCUUGAUCCCACAUGGCUGCUGCAGACUGAAAAAUCAAAGCAGACUAUGUGAGCCAUUAAGGACCAAACAUGCAAUGCAGCAGCCAUUCGACUUUGUUUACAGUCAUUACUGUUUCUGCCCUGCUGUUCACUCCUGUGGUCCAGAUAAAGAAAUUAAAGUCAAAGGAUGUA